AAAAGGUGUAGUUUUACAUUAUUCAUAUUCAACAUUUGAACAUCCAUCUUAUUUGAAAAAAAAAUUUGAUCAGUAUUUUUAUAUUGUUAUUAGAUGAUAAAACAUAAGUAGUAUUUUAUAUGUAACUAUUUUUUUUAUUUAUUUCAUAAAUUUUUCAAAUAAAAUGAUGGUGAAACGUUGGUCAUUUAAAUCCACGACUGCACUUAAA
rnacentral:pre_miRNA from 1 species